rnacentral:SRP_RNA from 1 species
GCCAGGUGUGGUGGCGCACACCUGUAAUCCCAGCUACUUGGGAGGCUGAGGCAGGAGAAUCGCUUGAGCCCAGGAGGUGGAGCUUGCAGUGAGCUGAGAUCAUACCACUGCACUCCAGCCUGGGCGACAGAGCGAGACUGUUUCAA